rnacentral:rRNA from 1 species
GACGAACGCUGGCGGCGUGCCUAAUACAUGCAAGUAGAACGCUGAAGGAGGAGCUUGCUUCUCUGGAUGAGUUGCGAACGGGUGAGUAACGCGUAGGUAACCUGCCUGGUAGCUGGGGAUAACUAUUGGAAACGAUAGCUAAUACCGCAUAAUAGCAGUUGUUGCAUGACAACUGUUUGAAAGGUGCAAUUGCACCACUACCAGAUGGACCUGCGUUGUAUUAGCUAGUUGGUGGGGUAACGGCUCACCAAGGCGACGAUACAUAGCCGAACUGAGAGGGUGAUCGGCCACACUGGGAAUGAGACACGGCCCAGACUCCUACGGGAGGCAGCAGUAGGGAAACUUCGGCAAUGGACGGAAGUCUGACCGAGGAACGCCGCGUGAGUGAAGAAGGGUUUCGGAUCGUAAAGCUCUGUUGUAAGAGAAGAACGAGUGUGGGAGUGGAAAGUUCACAAUGUGACGGUAUCUUACCAGAAAGGGACGGCUAACUACGUG